CACUAAGAAGCUAAACCGGGUUUAGCGUUAGCCUUUUAAGCUAGAAAUUGGUGACUCCCAACCACCCUUGGUGA
rnacentral:tRNA from 1 species